rnacentral:lncRNA from 1 species
UACAUCAGAAAGACAGAAGCAACACUGCUGACCAGUUGAUCUCCAGUGAGAAAAAGGUGAAAAUACCUCUGCAAGAACGUGCCAAGAUCAGGGGGAGAAAGAGAGGCAGACCUCGUGUUUACUUAACUCCUAAUGAUAGAGCCCUACAGAAACGAUUCCGAUCAAGAGGGUCAAGAAAGCACAGAGGUGAUAGUGUGAAUUUUCACUCUCAAAUACUUCCUGUGA